GAGCUUUUAUUUGGCAGCACAUACAUUAAAAUUGGAACAUUACAGAGAUUAGCGUGGCCUCUAUGCAAGGAUGGCACACAAAUCAGCGAAGCCAUACAGUUAUUC